UUUAAUAUUUGGCAAACUUAUCGAAAGGUAAGGACGCAAAGCUAUAGGGUCUAAAUAAGUAUUUAUAUGACAGCCAGUUGCAGAU
rfam:Acetobacterium wieringae strain DSM 1911 ACWI_contig000039, whole genome shotgun sequence.